UACGUAGGGGGCUAGCGUUGUCCGGAAUCAUUGGGCGUAAAGAGCGCGUAGGCGGCUAGAUAAGUCCGGUGUGAAAGUCACAGGCUCAACCUGUGAAUGCCGCUGGAAACUGUCUGGCUAGAGUCCGGAAGGGGCGAGUGGAAUUCCUGGUGUAGCGGUGAAAUGCGCAGAUAUCAGGAGGAACACCAAUGGCGAAGGCAGCUCGCUGGGACGGUACUGACGCUGAUGUGCGAAAGCGUGGGGAGCAAACAGG
rnacentral:rRNA from 1 species